rnacentral:rRNA from 1 species
GCUAGGGUGGCUGCAGUGGGGAAUAUUGCACAAUGGGGGAAACCCUGAUGCAGCGACGCCGCGUGAAGGAUGAAGUAUUUCGGUAUGUAAACUUCUAUCAGCAGGGAAGAAAAUGACGGUACCUGACUAAGAAGCCCCGGCUAACUACGUGCCAGCAGCCGCGGUAAUACGUAGGGGGCAAGCGUUAUCCGGAUUUACUGGGUGUAAAGGGAGCGUAGACGGUAUGGCAAGUCUGAUGUGAAAACCCGGGGCUCAACCCCGGGACUGCAUUGGAAACUGCCGAACUAGAGUGUCGGAGAGGCAAGUGGAAGUGCGAGUGUAGCGGUGAAAUGCGUAGAUAUUAGGAGGAACACCAGUGGCGAAGGCGGCUUGCUGGACGAUGACUGACGUUGAGGCUCGAAAGCGUGGGGAGCAAACAGGAUUAGAUACCCGAGUAGUC